rnacentral:miRNA from 2 species
UCACCGGGUAGACAUUCCUUGC